rnacentral:rRNA from 1 species
UCCUACGGGGGGCAGCAGUGGGGGAUAUUGCACAAUGGGGGGAACCCUGAUGCAGCGACGCCGCGUGGGUGAAGAAGCGCCUCGGCACGUAAAGCCCUGUCAGCAGGGAAGAAAAUGACGGUACCUGAAGAAGAAGCCCCGGCUAACUACGUGCCAGCAGCUGCGGUAAUACGUAGGGGGCAAGCGUUAUCCGGAUUUACUGGGUGUAAAGGGGGCGAAGACGGCGAUGCAAGCCAGGAGUGAAAGCCCGGGGCCCAACCCCGGGACUGCUCUUGGAACGGCGUGGCUGGAGUGCAGGAGGGGCG